ACUGGAGCAAUGACUCAGCUCACAGUUCUACCCUAUAGCUAUGUUUGUGCCACUACCACCUCCUGCCUCAAAGAAACUCUUGCCAGGGUGAUUUACCAAGGAUAAAGAUGUCUAAUUUAAGUUGGACCAACCCAAUUCUCUUUCUUGGAAAUUUGAAACUAGAAGAGAGCCACAUGGAGAAUGAAGGUCUUAUUUCAACUGUUGUUCAGGAAUGAUCCAAACAAAUUCAGAAGCAGAUUUAAAUGUUAUAGGAUGGGCUGCUGUUGACCUCGCUGCUGACCUUGCUGCUGACCUCACUGCUGACCUUGCUGCUGACUUCACCGUUUCUCCCAAUAUAUGUCAGCUGAGUGGACUUUUGGCUGCCGGACAUGAAGAAAUCAUAUAAUCAAUUAAGCAAUCAAUCAACAAAUAUAUAGUGGACUUCUGCAAUUUGCAAGGCUCUGUGGCAAAUUGUACAAGAAGUGCAUUUUGCCUCCUGCCAUGAUUCUGAGGCCUCCCCAGCCCUGUGAAACUUCUCUCUCUCACUUUCUUUUUCUCCAUCUCUCAUUCUGGAACCCUGAGCAACUAUGUAAGAAGUCUGGCUGCCAUGAUGCCACCAUGCUGGAGGGACCACAUGGACAUACCAUGAAGAUAUAUAGAGAAAUGCUUUAGAAACCUCAGCUGUUCCGUCUUUCAGCUAUUUGAGUCUUCCUAGGCCAAGGGCCAGAUAUAUAAACAAAGAAGACUUGAUGGUGACUCCAGCCUUAGUCAACGUCUAACUGCAACCACGUGAGAGACUUUCAACCAGAACUAUGCAGUGGAGCUGCUUCUGAACUCCUGACCCAUAGAAACCAUGAAUGAUAAUAAAUGAUUGCUGUUUUCCUUAAAUGUUUGGUCGCAUUUCUCAGUGAAAUCAUCUGUGCCUAGAAUUUUCUUUCUAGAAAAGUUUCAAACUCCAAAUUCAAUUCUUA
rnacentral:lncRNA from 10 species